rnacentral:rRNA from 1 species
AUUGAACGCUGGCGGCAGGCCUAACACAUGCAAGUCGAACGAGUGGCGGACGGGUGAGUAAUGUCUGGGAAACUGCCCGAUGGAGGGGGAUAACUACUGGAAACGGUAGCUAAUACCGCAUACCAUCGGAUGUGCCCAGAGGGGAUUAGCUUGUAGGUGAGGUAACGGCUCACCUAGGCGACGAUCCCUAGCUGGUCUGAGAGGAUGACCAGCCAUACUGGAACGGAGACACUGGCCGUACUCCUACGGGAGGCAGCAGUGGGGAAUAUGGGACAAUGGGCGAAAGUCUGAUGCAGCAAUGCCGGGGGUAUGAAGAAGGACGUCGGGUUGUAAACUACUUUCAGUGGGGAGGCGUUACCCGCAGAAGAAGCACCGACGAACUCCGUGCCAGCAGCCGCGGUAAUUC